rnacentral:piRNA from 1 species
UGAUAAAUGUCAGGGUUAAGUCUGGUGGU